GAUAAGAAUUUCAUGUCUUUUGUAUUAAAGAAUUAAAUGGAUGAAAUAUGAAGUUUUAUUAAAAGAAAAAGGGGUGAAAAGAACAAAGUUUUGUCCAUCUUUGUUCAUCAUAGCUGAAAGUUAGAGAAGAGAAAGGAGAGGAGAAAGCUCUUGAGUAUUCAGUCAUUAGGAGGAGGAAAAUUGAAGGCGGUUCGUGUGUGGAUCUCGUCAGCAUAUCGUCGCAAACAAGAAAUCCCCAACCAUAGUGGGCUUGGAGCUACGAGGGAAUUCGGAGUGGCCACCCGUUCUGAAAGUUUGAUUUUCUUCUGGUGAACUGGACAUCCUUUUAUUUACGUUUGAAGUUUUGGGUUUUUAAAUGUAAUAAGGCCGCUUAAUUAUUUUUAAUGGUUUUAAUAA